CUAUUUUUAAAAAAUUAAAGUCUACUGUGUUCUUUACACUAACUAUAUAGAAAGAGGAGUAAUAGUAAUCCCACCCCAAAUACAACCCAGUCUAGGCCCUCUGACUGGUCUAUAUUGUGAAUGGGGAACAUGG